rnacentral:rRNA from 1 species
ACAGCAGUCGCCGCGGUAAUACGGAGGAUCCAAGCGUUAUCCGGAAUCAUUGGGUUUAAAGGGUCCGUAGGCGGUCUUGUAAGUCAGUGGUGAAAGCCCAUCGCUCAACGGUGGAACGGCCAUUGAUACUGCAGGACUUGAAUUAUUGGGAAGUAACUAGAAUAUGUAGUGUAGCGGUGAAAUGCUUAGAGAUUACAUGGAAUACCAAUUGCGAAGGCAGGUUACUACCAAUUGAUUGACGCUGAUGGACGAAAGCGUGGGUAGCGAACAGGAUUAGAUACCCGUGUAGUCUCUGUCUCUUAUAC